rnacentral:ribozyme from 15 species
UAGAAACAAAAAGUCAGCAAUCAGAGCAAGCAAGAAGAUAGGUUGCAUUUCGAAAAUCUUUUAUUUCUCAUUUUGUUCUCCUUCUUCUCCUAAUUCAAGUCAUUU